GACCCGGUGGCGCAACGGUAGCGCGUCGGACUCCAGAUCACGAAGGUUGCGUGUUCAAAUCACGUCCGGGUCA